rnacentral:rRNA from 1 species
UUAGAGUUUGAUCCUGGCUCAGAUUGAACGCUGGCGGCAGGCCUAACACAUGCAAGUCGAGCGGUAACAUUUCUAGCUUGCUAGAAGAUGACGAGCGGCGGACGGGUGAGUAAUGCUUGGGAACAUGCCUUGAGGUGGGGGACAACAGUUGGAAACGACUGCUAAUACCGCAUAAUGUCUACGGACCAAAGGGGGCUUCGGCUCUCGCCUUUAGAUUGGCCCAAGUGGGAUUAGCUAGUUGGUGAGGUAAUGGCUCACCAAGGCGACGAUCCCUAGCUGGUUUGAGAGGAUGAUCAGCCACACUGGGACUGAGACACGGCCCAGACUCCUACGGGAGGCAGCAGUGGGGAAUAUUGCACAAUGGGCGCAAGCCUGAUGCAGCCAUGCCGCGUGUGUGAAGAAGGCCUUCGGGUUGUAAAGCACUUUCAGUCAGGAGGAAAGGUUAGUAGUUAAUACCUGCUAGCUGUGACGUUACUGACAGAAGAAGCACCGGCUAACUCCGUGCCAGCAGCCGCGGUAAUCUCCAGGCACAGCUAGGGCCUUUCCG